rnacentral:rRNA from 1 species
AGUGAACGUUGGCGGCGUGGAUUAGGCAUGCAAGUCGAGCGAGAACCGUAGCAAUACGGGGACAGCGGCGAAAGGGACAGUAAUGUGUAGGUACCUACCCCGAGGUCUGGGAUAGCUGCGGGAAACUGCAGGUAAUACCGGAUAAUGUCUUCGGACCAAAGGUGUGAUUCCACCUUGGGAGGGGCCUGCAUCCUAUUAGCUAGUUGGGGAGGUAACGGCUCACCAAGGCGACGAUGGGUAGCGGGUGUGAGAGCACGACCCGCGUCAUUGGGACGGAGACACUGCCCAGACACCUACGGGUGGCUGCAGUCGAGGAUCUUCGGCAAUGGGCGAAAGCCUGACCGAGCGACGCCGCGUGUGGGAUGAAGGCCUUCGGGUUGUAAACCACUGUCGUAGAGGAGGAAAUGCAGGGGGGUUCUCCCUUCUGUUUGACCUAUUCUAGGAGGAAGUACGGGCUAAGUUCGUGCCAGCCGCCGCGGUAAUAC